UAUUUUUGCUGUUAUUCUCGUCAAUCUUUGACAUGUCAAACCUGUCAAGUUUGAGGCUGCAGAAAAUUAAAUGUGUUUGGCAAAUAUUUACAAUAUGGGUUCUCCUUGGGGAUAUAGCGACUGCUGUUGCAACCUGAUAAGCUUACCUCGUGGCAGCUGCAACUGCAACUGCCAGUGCAAUAAUGCAGCUUCCGCGGCGACAAUGUUGUCAAUGUUGGCAAAACAAGUAAAACGACAGACAAAAUGAGCCUGUGUUGUCGCUGUAUUACUGUGUUAUUGUUGCUGUUGAUUGAGGGUGCUGAUUCGCGUUGCUGUUACUGUUGCCGUUGCCUCUGCCUCUGCUGGUCGUUUGUCAGUGGAAGUACAGCUAUUUCUGGGCCAUUUGUCGGCUUUUGCCCCGUUCCGGUGUUGCGGGCUGUAUGGCAAUGCGUAAUCCAUCUCUAUGAAGGCUGCCAGGGCAUUCGUCAAGCGCGUGCCCGAAUCUGAAUCCGAAGCCAUAUCCGAAUCCCAGAUCCGACACUCGACAUGUGCACUUGAACUUUGGCAUUUGGCAAUGCGCCUGGCAUUUGUUGCUUACGUGCGUGCGUGUGGUGCGGUCGGUGUGGCAUGCAAAAGUUUGUCAAUUUUGAGUUGAGAGAGAGCAAACAAAAUUCCGGGACACAGCGCAAACACAAAUAAAACACUAGAGUUUUCUUUUUUUUGAUAAAACACAAUUUUAAUAACUUUGACAUCAAGUACACAUCGAGAAAUUGCAAUAACACACAGAUGACACACGGAUACAUACACACGGACAAAUUACAAGUACAAUAUAUACAUAUACAUAUAUCUAAUGAAUGCCUAAUUGAAAUCAAAUUUUCGCGCUGCGGGCACGUGCCGCAUGCUUGCGGCCAAAAAGUAUGCGCUUGAAGGCGCGUCGGAAUUCCGGAUUGAAGAUGGUGUAGAUGACCUGUAAGAGUAGCAAAUAG